CUGGCACACUGUGUGUUUGUCCACCGCCACCCUCCCCUAGCGUCACUAGGCAAGAGCCCUGUUUUAUCUGGUUUUUAGGUUGUUGGAUCCCUCGAGCUGAUGCUUACUGACAAGAGGAGAAAUGUGCUGUCAUUGAAGAGAACUCAAGAAUUGUGAAAAAGUCCCUGUCAGUAGCUAUGUAAGACACGUUUUCUCUGACUGACCUCAGGACAAUCUCUGAAUACAGAAGGUCCUGAGCAGUUUCACUAACAGAAAAAUGAUGAGCAAGAUGAGGCAGCGGAGAAGAACUUUGGCUGUGGACGCCUGCUCAGCAUGGAUAGUCCCAGAAUUAUUAUGCCUUCUGGUGAAACUGGAAACUUCAAUAAUUUCUCUGGCUCAACAUCCUUAAGGCUUUUCCUUGGCAAUGGAUGCAUAAUAAAUGUUCCAUGGAGAUUUUCAACUCUGUGUUGCUAGCAGACUCUACAUCUUGGCUUGUACUUUGAUGAAAGAAGCUGCCAUGUUGAAGAAAUUGAUGGAGCAAGAAACUGAACGUGGACAACAGAUUGUAAGGAAUCCAAAGAUGAUAAGAGCCACGCACGCUUGGAAGUGGAUCUUUUCCAGUCAAAGCAUGAGAUGAUGACAGCCCUUUGCUUUAGUUCCCAAAGCAGAGCAUCUGGCUUCCCUGUGCCCAGAUUUCUGACUCAUGGAAGUUGUGGGCUAUGAUACCAUAAUAUGUGCUCUCUUAAGCCAUCAAAAUUUGGGUUCUUCAUUAUACAGUUAUGGAUAACUGAUAUGAGCAGGCAUUUAAUAUGUAUUUGAGGAAUGAUUGAAUGAAGAAGACUAAGUAGAAGUAUUUACUACUUUGUUCAUUGUGUGGUGGGUUCAUAGUGACAGUGACAGGUAGCCAUGGAGUUGAAGAGAUUUGAAUAACACUGUAGCCUGUGCGUAAGCUGCUUAUGCAAUUCUAAUUUACACCCCUUGGGAAAAUUCCAGAGUACUGGAUGUUCAAUUGUUUAGUUACUUCAUGCAAAGCUGAAAGCAAGUAUUGUUCAUUGAAUGCUUAAAACCAGAUGCAGUUAGUUUUCAGCAGUACACGUCCACUUCACACUCUAUUUGCCCUUGGAGAUGCAUAUUUUAGAAAAGACCGUGGGCCCAGGAAGCUUCUGCAAACCCCAUCUAGUGAGCUCUGGGCAGAGGCACCAGCUUGCAUGUCUGGUGUCCUCACUUCCCUUACAGUGACUGUGUAUUCCUUCCCCUUUCCUGUUUGGCUAUCCAUAUGUUAGUAGUAAAGACUGAUUCCAAAGCACUGCCUGGGCCUGGAAAAGUUGACCUCAUUCUGCUUAACGAUAUAUAUCCUGCUUAUAGUAAGGAGAAGCUCAGCGUACUAAAAUGAAAUGCUUCACUCCCACCAGAGCAGAUUCAAAAUUCUAAGUGGCAAAUAUCUAGGCAAUUUGAUGUACCACAAAUUUCUAGUGUAAAUAUGUAAGGGAUGUGUGAGUCAUAAGGACCAUUUGGCCAAGAACUGUCACCUUAGUACAAUUUUUACAUUACUUACUUCUCACCUGCAUUUACAUGGCCCAAAAUAUUUCUAGCACUGUUGGCUCUUUUGGUUGUCCUAAAUGUCCUUUCUAGUGGAAAGAGAUUUUUAUGUUCACUCUAUAAGUGAGAACAAGAUGUUAAGUACUUUCACCAAGUGAACACAGCUUUGUUUAGAGAGUAGGUACUAAACCCAGACCACAGGCCACAAGAGCAGAGUUCAUGGGUGCAAAGUGUGGAAUGAAGCCUUUAUUCUAGGCAGAAAGUUUAAAAGGGCUCCAAAAAAUUUAGUGAUUGAAAUAAUUAAUAUUUUAACAUUUCUAACAACUGAAGACAUCAAAAUCUUAAAGUUGGUCUGAAUGAUUUUUCCUUUUGUCUCAGGUGCUACUAUUUACUUCCUGGAGCGUUUCACUUUCCAAGGUCUCAGGUAAACUGAAAUCCACUCAGGAAACAGCACUAUCUUCCUGAGACUGUGGUUCACACCCACUCUCCUGUCCAGCUGUAGAAAACUUCAGAUAAUCUUCUUCCUUUGGAAUAGGGCUCAAGCCAAAUAUGAUUCCCAUUUUAAUGAUUCCUACUCUGCAGGAGCAGAGUGGUAUUUUCAUCACUCUAAGUCGCUGUCUCCACUGCUUUAAGGAAAUGCAUCUGCAGAGCAGUCAUCCCAGUUCUCCAAAUAAAGGGAGGAAACGAUCUAGGUGUUCCAAGUCCCUCUAGUCCACAGAGGAAUCAUGUAGGAUUGCAUCGUUGUCAGGAAGACAAGUUCUGGAGCUAGACUGGGUCAAGUUCUAGCUAUGUGGCCUUAAUUUUAUUUUAACUUUAUUUGAAGACUUCUGGUUCUUUUUUAAUAAUUAAGUUUACUGGUACAGUUUAGAUAAGCAUAAUGGUUGCAUUCAUUGUAGGGAAUUUGUACCUGUACAUGAUACAUCUUGUUCCCUUUUUCGUCCCUAUUCUCCUACCCUCUUUUCAACCUCUCUUCCCCUCUUUAUCUGUUUCUGUUUUAUCCUCUUUUUCUUUAUAUUUUUUCUUUUUC